UACGUAGGGGGCAAGCGUUGUCCGGAAUUAUUGGGCGUAAAGAGCUCGUAGGCGGUCUGUUGCGUCGGCUGUGAAAACCCGGGGCUCAACUCCGGGCCUGCAGCCGAUACGGGCAGACUAGAGUUCGGCAGGGGAGACUGGAAUUCCUGGUGUAGCGGUGAAAUGCGCAGAUAUCAGGAGGAACACCAAUAGCGAAGGCAGCUCGCUGGGACGGUAUUGACGCUAAGGCGCGAAAGCGUGGGGAGCAAACAGG
rnacentral:rRNA from 1 species